rnacentral:rRNA from 1 species
GGGGGGGGGGGGGGGGGGGCGGGGGGGGGGGGGGGGGGGGGGGGGGUUGGGGGGGGGUGGCGCGGGGGUGCGUAGCGCGUGGGAACCGGAGGUUGGGGUGGGAAUGACUCCCCGAAAGGGGUGGUACUACCGGAUAAUGUCUUCGGACCACAGAUGUAUCGCCUUUGGAUUGGCCCGCGUUGGAUUAGCUAGUUGGUAUGGUACAAUCAUAGGCAGGCGACGAUCCAUAGCUGGUCUGAGAGGAUGAUCAGCCACACUGGUACUGAGACACGGCACAGAAUCCUACGGGAGGCAGCAGUGGGGAAUAUUGGACAAUGGGCGAAAGCCUGAUACAGCAAUGCCGCGUGAGUGAUGAAGGCCUUAGGGUUGGAAAGCUCUUUUACCCGGGAUGAUAAUGACAGUACCGGGAGAAUAAGCUCCGGCUAACUCCGUG